GACGAACGCUGGCGGCGUGCUUAACACAUGCAAGUCGAACGGGCCCGCCCCUGUUUUUGGGGGUGGGUUGAGUGGCGAACGGGUGAGUAUCACGUGAGUAACCUGCCCCCUGCUCCUGGAUAACUGCUUGAAAGGGCGGCUAAUACGGGGUGUGCCGGCUGGUCCGCAUGGGCCUGGUCGGGAUAGUUUCAUCUUCGGGUGUUUCGGUGGGGGAUGGGCUCGCGGCCUAUCAGCUUGUUGGUGGGGUGAUGGCCCACCAAGGCGGUGACGGGUAGCCGGCGUGAGAGGGUGGGCGGCCACACUGGGACUGAGACACGGCCCAGACUCCUGCGGGAGGCAGCAGUGGGGGGUAUUGCACAAUGGGCGGAAGCCUGAUGCAGCGACGUCGCGUGAGGGAUGGAGGCCUUCGGGUUGUGAACCUCUUUCUCCGGUGGUGAAGGCCCUGUCCGUUGCGGCGGGGUUGACGGUAGCCGGGUAUGAAGCGCCGGCUAACUACGUG
rnacentral:rRNA from 1 species